UAGGGAAUAUUGCGCAAUGGGGGAAACCCUGACGCAGCAACGCCGCGUGAGUGAGGAAGGUCUUCGGAUUGUAAAACUCUGUUCUUAGGGAAAAAUGGUUAUGUAACUAAUAGCGCAUAAUUUGAUGGUACCUAAGUAGAAAGCACCGGCUAACUUCGUGCCAGCAGCCGCGGUAAUACGAAGGGUGCAAGCGUUGUUCGGAAUCAUUGGGCGUAAAGCGCGCGCAGGCGGAUCAGCAAGUCAGAUGUGAAAUCUCGGGGCUCAACCUCGAAACUGCGUCUGAAACUGCAGGUCUAGAAUGUCGGAGGGGGCAGGGGAAUUUCACGUGUAGGGGUAAAAUCCGUAGAGAUGUGAAGGAACACCGGAGGCGAAGGCGCCUGCCUGGACGACUAUUGACGCU
rnacentral:rRNA from 1 species